UACGUAGGGUUCGAGCGUUGUCCGGAUUUAUUGGGCGUAAAGAGCUCGUAGGCGGUCUGUCGCGUCGAUCGUGAAAACUUGGGGCUUAACCCUGAGCUUGCGGUCGAUACGGGCAUGACUGGAGUUCGGCAGGGGAGACUGGAAUUCCUGGUGUAGCGGUGAAAUGCGCAGAUAUCAGGAGGAACACCGGUGGCGAAGGCGGGUCUCUGGGCCGAUACUGACGCUGAGGAGCGAAAGCGUGGGGAGCGAACAGG
rnacentral:rRNA from 1 species